rnacentral:rRNA from 1 species
UGGGGAAUAUUGGACAAUGGGCGAAAGCCUGAUCCAGCCAUGCCGCGUGUGUGAAGAAGGUCUUCGGAUUGUAAAGCACUUUAAGUUGGGAGGAAGGGCAGUAAGCGAAUACCUUGCUGUUUUGACGUUACCGACAGAAUAAGCACCGGCUAACUCUGUGCCAGCAGCCGCGGUAAUACAGAGGGUGCAAGCGUUAAUCGGAAUUACUGGGCGUAAAGCGCGCGUAGGUGGUUCGUUAAGUUGAAUGUGAAAGCCCCGGGCUCAAACUGGGAACUGGAUCCCAAACUGGCGAGAUAGAGUAGGGCAGAGGGUGGUGGAAUUUCCUGUGUAGCGGUGAAAAGCGUAGAUAUAGGAAGGAACACCAGUGGCGAAGGCGACCACCUGGGCUCAUACUGACACUGAGGUGCGAAAGCGUGGGGAGCAAACAGG